rnacentral:lncRNA from 1 species
UUGACCUUCAAGGAUGAGAGUUUAACUUAGUUCACUAAGCUCUGGGGCAAGGCACUCUAUGAGCUACAGAAGUGAAUGGGACAGGGCCCCACCUUAUUUAUGUUAAUAAAUGUUAUGUUAUGUUAUGUUAAUAAUCCCUACAGGGAGAGAGCACACAUGCCACGCCAUGGAGUAGGGGGCACGCAAGGAAGGCUGGGGCAGGUCAGUGAGAGAGGAAGAGUGCCAGGAAUAUUCAAUGUGGUUUCUGUAAGGAGAUGGACAAGGCUGGUGAGUGGACUAGUUUGAAUAAUUUCUGUUGGCCAUGGGGUAUAGGAUCUGAUCCUGGUUACCUCAUAUCUGACCUUAGAGUUAUUAUGCAAAGGAAUCCUGACCUUUAGCAGGACCUCCAUAAAUGAGGUGAUGGCAUGUGGGCCGUGCCAUUGCUGGGUGGUCCUUGAAGAUCACAUGCCCAUGCAGCCUUGACUUAGUUAACCUAGGCUUAGUUAACCCUAGGAUGGAUGAUGUCUGCAGGGACUGCAAGAUCCAGAUGUCAAAACAUCAGAAUAUGGAAAAUAAAAGGCAAUGUUGAUUUCUCCUUAAGGGACACAGGCUGCAGUGGGUCCAGAAGCCAGGGAAGCAGAAACUGGAACAAAAAAGCAGACCUCGGCCUCUCAACUGUAAGAGGAGGUGUCAAAACUUUGAGAUGAUGGGAAAGAUGCUGGGAAAGAAGCACUUGCUCGCUAAGAGAAGGAAAGGGUGGCUGAGGAUGGAAGGUUGGGCUUGGGGGGUUAGCAAGGAAGCAGACAGAGUCUGCUGGGAAACACUAAACCAAAAACCACAGAACAGGCUCUAGACUAGAGGCAAGUCCCUGCUCCACACUCCAGGGGACGUUGGUAAUAGUUGGGAACAUUUUUGAUUAUCAUACCUUGAAGAUGAGGAAGAAGUCUACUGUUGGAAAGCAGUAGAUUGAAGCAGGAUGUGACAGGUUGCAUGCCUUUAAUCUCAGCAGAGAUUGAGGCAGAGGCAGGGAGCUCUGUGAGCUCAAGGCCAACCUGGUCUACGUGAUGAAUCUCAGGACAGCCAGAACCACACAGUGAGACUCUGUCUCAAAAAGAAAUAGAAAAAAAAAAUUAAAAAGUCAGGGAGUGCUAUAACAUAGAGAUAGCCGUUCCACCCCUAGCCUAGCCAACAAAGAGCUGUUCUGACUGCGUGUCAGGAGUGUCAAGGACAGGGAGUCCUGAGUUACAGGAAGGAUUGAUAAGGAAAAGCACAGGAUUUGAUGGAUGUCUGAAGUCAGCAGGGUUCCAUGUUCUCUGGGACCUGCCUGAGGCAGAAAAGGAGAAAGGCUGGGAGCUGCUGUUAGUAAAGUAUUCGGUCCCCCUAAACCUGUCAGUCAGGGACUGGGAGCAGAGAGGGGGAGAUGUUGGUCUAAGUACACAAAGAUUAGUUAGGCAAUUUCGAAGCUCUAUUUUGUAGCCCAGUGACGAUAGUUAACAGCAUAUGUAACCAAAGCACAAUGUCUCAUGCCUGUCAUCCUCAAUACUCAGGAGGCUGAUAUAGAAGGAUCACAAAACCAAGCUCACCUGGGCAACAUGGCAAGACUUUGCUCAAAGAAUAAUAAUAAUAACAAUAAUAUGUACUUAAAAAUUGCUAUCAGGUUGACCUAUGUUAUUACCACAAAAAAGACGAUUAUAUGAGGUAAUGGAUAUGUGAAUCAUCUUGUCUUAUAAUGUAUACGUAUAUCAAGGUAUCACAACAGACAUGAUGAACAUACUCAGUCUUCAGUAAUCGUGAGUGAGUGACUAUCCAUAAGUACUCAAGUCCUUUAUAUAAAGUGGUGGAGUGUCUGCCUACAACCUACGCACACACUUCCAUGUACAUUGGAUUCAUUACCACUAAUCUCUAAAACCAUAUACGUGCUAUUGUAUACUGUUUGGGUACCAACAAGAAAAAAUCUGUUCAGCUUCAGAAGACACGCAAUUUUUAAGUAUCCUUUUGUCCUAAGUUGGUUGAACCCAUAGACGACCCAAGAACACAAAACAUCAUUCCGGGUGUGGGGGGGGGAGGGGUGUAGGUGGGUGUAGGUAAACUGGGAACUUAAGAUGAAGUGGGGAAAAAAAGAGAGUGAAUUCUUGUGAUAUCUCCAAAACGGAACUUCCUGAGGGCAGGAACCAUAUGUGUUCAGCCUUGCCAGAAACCCUGCUAUGAUGUUAUUAAAAAAAAAAUGUUAUUGAAUGGAUGAUAUUUAAAAGUUAAAUGAGAUGAGGCAUUCUCCUCACCUGGAGUCCUUGUAAGUUUGCUGAAAAGCCCGUGAGCUGGGUUUGCAUUCUGAAUAAGCAGCAUUUUAGAUUCUGAUAAAGGCAGUGCUUUCUCCAGAACCUAUUAUCUCUUCUUCAUACCCUUCACACACACUCCUGAGCCCUCAUCAAAGACUUCAUAAAUACCCUGCCAUUUUUAACCCAUUUCUUAUGUUUGUUUAAGUUGUUGUCCAUACGCUGGUAACUCCAGACAUAAGUUCAAUGGAUUUGGAUCAUGUCCAUCAGCAUUCGGCUCCCCACUCCAGCUCCUGGCAACCCCACCUACCACACACCCUCCUGAUUUCAGGUUUGCUUUCUCUUGUAAGUCUUUUCCUCUUUUAUGCAGUCUUUCCCAAAGGAAAUGCAAGUAUGCCCACUAUUCCCUGUGGUGAUGACUUCAGGAAUUCCUCUAAUAAAUACUUUCCUAGUGAUGGUUUUGUGGUUUUUGUAAAUAAGUACAUGGCUGUGACAUAAUACCUCUGUUUCCUGGGUGGUCUUGUUUAGGACAAAGGGGCAUUUUUAAAGAUGAGUCCAUCUUAAAGCU